CGGAAGCCAGAGAGUAAACAACCGGGGCCGGUUCCCUGGGGUUCCCCUCAGCAAAGGGAUGCAAGAAAGGGAGACUUAGGAGGGCGCGGGAUGGAAGUGCUUUUGGAGGUCCUGUGGUGGGGCUGUCUGAGAAAGGCUGGAAGGCUGUAGAACCAAAUAGUCAGUGAUGACCAUGGACUUUAGAGUUGGACUGACCCAGUUCUCGCAUUGACCAGAUUCCAUCUGACCAAGAAAGUGGAAAUAGGCAUCUAAAGCCAAGGAAGUCUCCAGAAGAAAUCUCUGUGAAAGAAGAGUACAGCAGCAUCAGUGUGCCUGGCACAGAUAUCUAUUUAGAGAGAGAAAAGAAAAAUAAAUACCCAGAGAUGGCUUUUGGGGAGGAAAGCAGUGAAGUCUGAAGUGUGUUCCAGUGGUAUACAGAGGAACAUGAGGAAGUGAAGGGGCCCAGCACACUAAAGAAGGGCAACAUGGCAAUCUAUUGUAACCGUCAACGUUUUGUGUUAAGACCGGCUGAGCUGAUGCCCAUAGAGAUCUGUAGGGUAGUUAUUAAUAGUGAAGUGGACAACAUACCCACCGAUCCUGACCCUAUUUUUUAAUCUGCCGAAUAACAGUACCACCUCAUUGGGAUGUUACAGAGAUUAAAUGAGAGAAUGCAAGCAAAACACUGAGCCUAACAUCAAAAUACUUUCUGGUUUUCGGCCACUGAUUUAGUCACUGUCAUCUUCUCUGACCGUGCUCCCAGGCCAAACUCCCCCUGCAGCAGUACCGGAAACCACUGGCAGCCCAGGACACCUACUCUUGCGCCCCAGCAUACAG